AUGUGCUAAGACAUAACAUUUAUAUUUGAAGAGGGUAAAAUACAAAUGCAGUUCUAAUGACUGGUUAGAUCAGUCAAAAAUAUGUAAUUCAUUGUUGGGAAAUAUCCGGUGACGUCAUCAUUGCGCGCGCUCCUAAUAACGCGUAACUGCAACGUGAGUUAGCAUUAGCUAGUGAGAAGUACCUUACAUGUAUUGAUAGAUCAUAUACUGCACCGGUAAUUAAUCAAAACAUAUCAUCGAAACGCAAUGGAUGACGAUGAAGAAACAUAUAGGCUAUGGAAAAUUCGGAAAACCAUCAUGCAGCUGUGUCAUGACAGAGGCUACCUGGUGACCCAAGAUGAGUUGGACCAGACCUUGGAUGAGUUUAAAAGUCAGUUUGGGGACAAACCCAGCGAGGGUCGCCCACGACGGACAGAUCUCACUGUCCUGGUAGCACACAAUGAUGACCCCACAGACCAGAUGUUUGUUUUCUUUCCUGAGGAGCCUAAAGUUGGUAUUAAGACCAUCAAGAUGUACUGCCAGCGGAUGCAGGAGGAAAACAUCACACGUGCCUGCAUUGUAGUUCAGAUGGGAAUGACACCUUCAGCUAAGCAGUCUCUAGUUGAUAUGGCCCCCAAAUACAUCCUGGAACAGUUUCUGCAGCAGGAGCUUCUAAUAAACAUCACUGAGCAUGAGCUAGUUCCUGAACACAUAGUCAUGACGAAAGAGGAACUGUCUGAAUUGCUGUUACGAUAUAAACUGAAGGAGAGCCAGCUGCCUAGAAUCCAACAAGGAGAUCCUGUAGCCCGGUACUUUGGAUUGAAAAGAGGCCAGGUACAAGAUCAGUCUCCUCAACCUAAUGUAGUUAACAUUUCUGAAAUAAGUGAUUUACUUGGCUCUCGUUUCUCUUUGCUGUGAUAGGUAGUAAAGAUAAUCAGACCCAGUGAGACUGCUGGACGAUACAUCACCUACAGGCUGGUCCAGUGAGGAUUUCAAUGUAUGUUGCUGUACUAAGGAACAGCGUAUGAGCCAAUAAAACUCAUGGAUUAUGCCACAGCUGGCCUCAUCUCUUUGGAUUAAGUUUAGCUUUUGUUAAUUUGUUCAAUAAAUCCUUUGACCUAUCUUUCCAAAGAUAUGUAUGAUGA